rnacentral:rRNA from 1 species
AUGGCGCGCAAACACAAUUGCCCAGACAUUGCCGUCAUUCUACGUAGACGACGAUCGUCUGCCAUCGAACAAGACCUAUGGCUUCGACCUUGCAUCUUAGCGUUCUGCAUGGCAUGGCUCGACAAGCAGGCUCCUUGCUCUGUGCUCCUCACAUCCUACGACACAAUCGCCAUCCUCGAAACUAUUCAAUUGGAAGAGCUAUGUCAUGGACUGUGCAGCCCCUCGACAAACCUUUCCUCGGGAGUUGAGGUCCAACAACCAAAGAGACAGAUAAGUUGCCCCAAGAACUACUUGACAAAUGCAACAUCAUUUGAAAUGCAACCACGAGACUAA